CAGAGGAGGAAGCCGCGGCUGGGGCAGGGGAGCCUGGGGAGGAGGGGGCAGCCCGAGACCUCCCCAGCGUCCCUGGCCCCGGAGGGGCGCCCCCAGACACCCUCGCCGCAGCCGCCGUCACGAGAGCUCAUCAGAGGCGCAGACGCGGGCUUGCAGCCAAUUUCCACCGUCUGCUCAUCGAAAUGAGAAAUCGGAGGCUGCCCGCCCGGGAGCGCUGAUAACACUCUCAGGAAUCACUCCUGCUGGUGCUCGGGGGACCAUAUGUGGUGCUAGAGAUCGAACCGGAGUUGGAGGCAUGGAAGGCAAGUGACCUGCCAGUUGUCCGGUCUCCCCUAUAUCCGAGUGGCUCCUCCCCCAGUCCCCUGGGACUGUGCCUCCACCUCUCCACUCGGUGUCAAGAGACUCAUGUUGGAGCAGAAGCAAGGGGACCAACGGGUGCCAGCUGCCAGCCAGGUGUUGAGUUCACGUCACUUAGGCCCUGCGGUGAGUUUAGCCGGUGCCAGAACAGGGCACAAGGCCCAGCGGUGCCAUGUGCUAGCUGGGAAAGGCAGACACGCCCUUUCAUCUCUUCGAAUCUCAUUUCUUCACCGCAAUCUGUACUACCAACUUCACGGGUCACUGUGAGGAUCAAGUUAUUUCAACUUAAGUUGUUUAUUUCAAACACUACCUGGUGCAUGGUGGACUCAAAUAUGUCUACAGGAAAGCAAAUGGCGUGAGAACUGCCACCACAGUCUCCAAAGAGAUCAGUGGGGAAGGGGCAUCUUUAAACGAAAUGGGGAUCCCUAAAGGGGUCUUGAGGGAUGAGUAGGAGUUUGCUGAGCUUACAGCGGGCCUUCCCGAUUGACGAUGCAGCCUGAGCCAGUGCCAGCUCACCGGUGAAGAAGGAGAAGGCCAGAGGGUGAGAGGUCGGGCAUAAGGGGAAGUCAGGCAUAGUCCUACAUAGUCAUAAUAACAGGCCACAAAGUCACACACACACACACACACACACACACACACACACACACACACAAAUCACAAAAGCAGCUGUGAUGUGCCUGUAGGUCAUUCGUCCGUGACAGGCACUCUGGGUCUGCAGGCAUGAGAGGGUGCCCAGGUCGCUCCAUCCUGCAGGGACCACGACUGCCCAUGCCACCCGUGCUCCGUCCGCGCCGUCCCCGUUUCCCUGGGCGUGGGCAGGCGCCCAGCCCCGCGGGCCCAGAGGAGGAGCCGGGCCGCGGCCCCCUGGCAGGUUCUCACAGCCCCUGCUCCCCCUGGCGCAUUCUUGGCCCUGCGUCUCUCACAGAUGCUGGAAGAAAUGAGGAAAAUGUUCCUUGGACCAGCUCACUGGUAUUUAGAUUUCCCCAGAACUCCAAACCAGAGCCGCGGCCAAGCCGGCGGGGGGGCCCCCGGACACGCCCCAAGUCAGAGAGGCUGCUCGGGGCUCCAACUUUCUCAGCCCUUCCCCGUGAGCGACCCCCCCGACCCCCACUCCCCGUGCCCCCUCUGGCCUGGAGCGAGCGAUAUGGGAAAGAGCUUUUCCUUCUCCCCGUUGCCUGGGUGACACCGCGGCCCGGAGGCCCGUCCACUCAGCCCGUCUCCCGGAGACUGUGGCAUCGCCCAGAGCCGCACAGCCUGGGUUUAGCGCCUUCCUCCUGGGGCACAGUGGCAGCGGCCUCUGGGGCGGGGGGUGGGUUCCCAAUGUCAUCCCUUGGGAUGAUAGAGACACCCUCCCACCCCCCGCCACCUGGGGUGUGAGCUGCAGAGAGAUGCCAUCCUCAAGAGCACAGGGGGCUGGGGAUUGGACACAGCGGGGAAGGCGCUUGGCUGGCAUGCAACUG